UCUUACUCAAAGGUUUGGCCUCGCCAAAGUUUCUCGUCGGAAAUCUAAAAAUCCAGAUUCUGGCGAGUUGGUUUAUUUUCUUUUCUUUGUUUUUCUUGCUGAUUUAUGCUUUUGCUUGUACCUUUAUUGUUUCCCCAUGUAAAUCCUUCCUAGUGGCUUGUAAUUUGUCUAGAAUGUUAAAAUGGGGAAUUUAGGGUUUAUGUGUGUUAGGGUUUGAUUUGUGUUUUUUUUUGUUUU
rnacentral:lncRNA from 1 species